CUCAGAACGAACGCUGGCGGCGCGUCUUAAGCAUGCAAGUCGAACGGCAAGAGGUAGCAAUACCUCCUAGAGUGGCGGACUGGUGAGUAACACGUGGGUGACAUACCCUUCAGAUGGGGAUAGCUAUUAGAAAUAGUAGAUAAUACCGAAUACGAGCACAGGGGUUAGAGAUCUGUGAGGAAAGGAGCUAAGGCUCCGCUGAAGGAAUGGCCUGCGGCCCAUUAGCUAGUUGGUGAGGUAAGAGCCCACCAAGGCGAUGAUGGGUAUCCGGCCUUAGAGGGUGAACGGACACAUUGGGACUGAGAUACGGCCCAGACUCCUACGGGAGGCAGCAGCUAAGAAUAUUCCGCAAUGGACGAGAGUCUGACGGAGCGACGCCGCGUGGAUGAAGAAGGCCGGAAGGUUGUAAAAUCCUUUUGAAACUGAAGAAUAAGCGUUGUAGGGAAUGACAGCGUGGUGACAGUAGGUUUUGAAUAAGCAACGGCUAAUUACGUGCCAGCCGCUGC
rnacentral:rRNA from 1 species